rnacentral:lncRNA from 1 species
AUAAACUUGACACGAUCAUAUGCUACGUUUAUAGUUUAGGUCUUGUCCAUCACAUCAUUCUCCCAAUGAUGUGAUCCCGUUAUCAAAUGACAACUCAUGUCUAUUGCUAGAAAACCAUAGCCAUCUUUCCACUAGAGACAUGUUGUUGUCUAUGUAUCCACACAUGUAUUUGAGUUUCCGACCAAUACAAUUAUAACAUGGAUAAUAAACGAUUAUCAUGAACAGGGAAAUAUGAUAAUAAGCAAUUUAUUAUUGCCUCUAGGGCAUAUUUCCAACACCCACAAGCCCUCAGGGCGCGCCCUGGGGGUAGGGUGCGCCGCCUAGCUUGUGGCCUCCUCAGUCACCUCCUGGUCUAGCUCCAGUGCUUCAAGAGUCUCUUUUGGUCCAUAAAAAAACACCGUAAAAUUUCAGCCCAUUCCGAGAACUUUUAUUUCUGCACAAAAAACAACACCACGAUAGCUCUACUGAAACAACGUCAGUCCGGGUUAGUUAUAAUCAAAUCAUACCAAAACCAUAUAGAAUUGUUACAAACAUCGCAUGAAUAUUUCAUAAAUUAUAAAUACGUUAGAGACGUAUUGUAACACCCCAAGCCAACAAAACGCUUGGAAUAUUACCACAAUUACCACAAACAACUUUGGGAAAGUGAACAUGCCCUCGAAGGAAAUUUCGGCAGAGUUUCCUCUAUUUCUAAGGACAUCCACGACAUGCAAUUCAUAUAAUUAUAUAACACAAGGAACAUAACAUAAGUGUAGAGCACCAAGCUACACUACCAUAACCGAGAACACCAGCGAUAACAUAAGACUUAGGAAGAGCUAAGUAAGACACGCAAACGAAAAGGGCAACUUCCAAACUUCAGGACAAACCACCAAGCUUAGCAAAGUAUAAACUAUACUAGGUUCUCAAAACAUGGUCCUAAAGUACAAUAUAUGUGAGUUUCGUGUAGUGAACAGGGUGGUGAUGCUACUCCCAAGACUCCCAUGCAUGCCGUCCUCAGGGUUUACCUAAAAACAUAUAAACAACAAGGAUGAGUACAAAGACUCAGCAAGUACAUACAAGAAUAAUAAGCGUUACACAUGUCAAGAUACCAAAUCUCUACUAAACACCAUACCCUCAUCAGCACCCAACACUAGUAUUCAUGUCCUACAUGCCUACAUGCUCAUCUCAUUUCAUUGCGUAUACCGGUAUCGCUUGAGUGGACGCCCGUCGACAUCCACUCACUCCAACGCAUGGAGGUUGCCUCCAAAGUAGGUCGCAACCCAACAAUGGAGGUCUCAAUGUGCCUACCCAAGGUAGGGACCUCUUUCUUUCACUAUCAUCAUGAGUGCAGAUAUGCAAAUGCAAGCAAAGUACUUGAAUCAACAUGUCUUUGUCAUCGUCAUCUCCAUCAUAAUAAACAUCAUUGACCUGGGCAAAUAUCAUGAUACAAAAAGGGCAGGGGAUAUGCAACGUCAUUAUCCUGUCAUGAACUUGCCUCAACCGCGAGGCACAACUUGUGGGUUAAAGGAUCCUGAACCAGAAGUACCAACACCUGUAAACAGGCAUAUAUCACAACCAAUACAAAAACAUGGACUUAUCAUCUAAACAUAUAUAAUUCAGCUUCGCUCCUACGCAUAAGACCACGGUGCAUAUCGAUCAACAUUGACGAAAUCUGAGAAUAUAUACUUGUUCCUCCACCCAAGUCCAUAUAUUAAAAUUCUGUCCAACAUAGUACAGCCCACCUUGAUAAUUUCAUAGGAUUUAAUAUACCAAACGAAAUCUAAUAAAUGAUAUGUGUUUAAGCAUCUACAGAACAGCCUGUACAAUUGUCAUGUUGUAACUUUAAUUUAAUUCAAUCUGUACCAUAUGAGAAUUCUGCACCCACGAAAAUAUAUUUCCGGACAGAAAACUAAAUUGAUGGCUGCUCUCAAAUCGUACAUCCAAACGAAGCAAAUAAGUACUCUACGGAAACCUUAGAACUUGCUUUACAAAUCAUAUAAAGGGACCAACUCGAAAUUCUGAGCAUAACUAACUCGUUUUUCACCUAGAAGCUGGCUGUCCAGAUCUGACAGUGCAGUUUUUCUGCAGUUUAUGUGCAGUUUUAACCGAACCAAGUUCAGUUUACAGGGAGAGAUACCCAAUGCUCCAGAUUUUUGCUUGGAAGCAAUCAACACCAUGCAACAUCAUAGAUGGGCUAUCCUCCCUAAUUGAUUUGGUUAAUCAAAGGACCAACAUAGGGAAGGUCCAGCCUGGGUGCCAAAACAAAAUAGGUACAAAUAUUGAAUCACCAACAAAAUUGUGAAUUGGUUCAUGAAUCCACCUCCAGUCCUCAAAUCUACUUCUAACAUAUGAGUUGCUGCCCCAAAUCCCUAAUUCUGACCUAGGAAGCACCAUAGAAAAGGAGAACUGGGACGUACCGCUAGCAACAACGACGCCCAGCAGCCAGCACUGCCCGGCAACGACCACUGAGAGGAGAGGCGUUGGGACAGCAGCAAC